rnacentral:rRNA from 1 species
AGAGUUUGAUCCUGGCUCAGGACGAACGCUGGCGGCGUGCUUAACACAUGCAAGUCGAACGAUGAAGCCCUUCGGGGUGGAUUAGUGGCGAACGGGUGAGUAACACGUGGGCAAUCUGCCCUUCACUCUGGGACAAGCCCUGGAAACGGGGUCUAAUACCGGAUAACACCUGCCUGGGCAUCUGGGUGGGUUAAAAGCUCCGGCGGUGAAGGAUGAGCCCGCGGCCUAUCAGCUUGUUGGUGAGGUAGUGGCUCACCAAGGCGACGACGGGUAGCCGGCCUGAGAGGGCGACCGGCCACACUGGGACUGAGACACGGCCCAGACUCCUACGGGAGGCAGCAGUGGGGAAUAUUGCACAAUGGGCGAAAGCCUGAUGCAGCGACGCCGCGUGAGGGAUGACGGCCUUCGGGUUGUAAACCUCUUUCAGCAGGGAAGAAGCGAAAGUGACGGUACCUGCAGAAGAAGCGCCGGCUAACUACGUGCCAGCAGCCGCGGUAAUACGUAGGGCGCAAGCGUUGUCCGGAAUUAUUGGGCGUAAAGAGCUCGUAGGCGGCUUGUCACGUCGGGUGUGAAAGCCCGGGGCUUAACCCCGGGUCUGCAUUCGAUACGGGCUAGCUAGAGUGUGGUAGGGGAGAUCGGAAUUCCUGGUGUAGCGGUGAAAUGCGCAGAUAUCAGGAGGAACACCGGUGGCGAAGGCGGAUCUCUGGGCCAUUACUGACGCUGAGGAGCGAAAGCGUGGGGAGCGAACAGGAUUAGAUACCCUGGUAGUCCACGCCGUAAACGGUGGGAACUAGGUGUUGGCGACAUUCCACGUCGUCGGUGCCGCAGCUAACGCAUUAAGUUCCCCGCCUGGGGAGUACGGCCGCAAGGCUAAAACUCAAAGGAAUUGACGG